CUGGAGGCGAGGGGGAGGUCGACAUCUCGGUGGAGCAGGUGGCGCGAGGUGGGAGGAGGAGGAGGAGGAGGAGGAGGAUCGUGGGUGGCAGCUGAGUACGAGUAGUGAUAGGGGAAAUCAGUCGCGGUUCGAGUACCGCCGCGAAUGCACGUAAGCGACGUCUAUCGUCGCGCUGUCUGCCUUUUUCUUUCUCUUUCUUUCCCUCGAUUCUCUGCUCCGCUCUGCUUCUCUCUCGGACUUGUUAUCUCUGACAUUCAAUUCUCGGACGCUGCGUCUCUUUCCCCCCACCCCUCUUUUGUUUGCUUAUUCUCUCUCUCUCUCUCUGCUUUUCGAAUAUAUAUAUAUGUAAUCGCGUCUCUCACGUGCGCUGCCUUGAACAGCACUGUGACGAGCGAGCGAAUGUGCUGUGAGCGCAUGAACGGAAGCAAACGAGUUCUCGAAGGACCCUUGACGCGCGCGAGGCAGCGCGAGGCAGCGCGAGGCAGCGCGAGCUGACCUUUCGGGCACGAGUCAAUUUGGGAGAAAAAGUUCAGCGAUUAUGUCGAUGCCUGGUGGGGAAGCAGCUGAGAACCGAUAAGAAAACCUAGUGUAAACAGAGAAGAGUGAGGAAGGCAUCUUCGAGAGAAGGAAGGAAGGCAGAAAGAGAAGGGGAAACACGCGAUCGAGCUUGACUCCCUCGCGCCAAAUGAGAUUCACUCGUGUAGUAUUGGUCUCUCUCGCUGCAUGGGAAAACUCGUCGCGAGUAUAACUUGUCGUUCUUGCUCGCUAAGAUUUUCGAUUUUCGAUUUUCGAUUUUCAAUUUUCAAUUUUCAAUUUUCAAUUUUCAAUUUUCUUUCGCGACUCGAGUUUGAAUUCGACGCGAUUAAAUAUCAAGUGUCGGAUCCGAGUGAGAGGAAAAGGUGAGCGAGACAGUGGACAGGGGGCGCCGCCGUGGAACGCCUCGACGAGGCGCGCGACGAUAUCGGUGUCGGGGAACGGUAAAGGAAACAAAACGAAGAAGGACGUCAACGGAAUGCUCGACUUCGAACAACAGGCCAAUCAGGCACAAGCACUGGCCUCGCUCGAUGAUGACUGGCACCUGCUCGAGGAAGGACAAGCAAGGAAGCACCAAACGUGCACGAGACUACUAACGGAGGCUGAAAGGUGGGACAAAUUCUCCCCUUAGCGAGAGAUGGAGGGUAUAGAAGAAAGAAAAUAAUGCGCUUUGCAAGCGUGUAAAAUAAAAAUUAACUCCGUUGCAUGGUGGUAUUCGCGCCCAUAGGAUUGAUUAUAUGAUAUCCAUUUGACGUACAAUUGUGCAAAAUAUCGAAACGCAAACUAAAUAUCUAUUAAUAUGUGUAACGAUGAAAUUUCUCUCUGAGGAUCCUUCCCUUCUUCCUCUCCCUCUAUCGUUAAUCCUGAGUAUUUAAAAAAUCUAUUAUGUAAUCUUUCUAUUAUACAUUAUACAGAAUUCUGAACCUAGUAUUAAAAAUCAUAUAUUGGAAAUCUAAGAAAGCAUUUAUUUUAAAUUUUAAGUAAUGAGCGAUUUCACGGAAAUUUAAGCACAUUUUCAAGAAUCAUCACAAUAUUAGUAUAUAUAAUAAAUAACAUACUUUAUUUGAUUUUAUGCAAAUUUUGAAUUGAGAAUUUUAAUUUCAUGAAUAACAAUAUUUAAUAUUGAACACUAAUAAAUAUUAAAGGAAUGACUUUUUAAAUUUCCUUGAAAUCGAAGAAUUUCAAAUUGAUUUUACUAUAUAUUGAUUUCAGGAAUCAAUCUCUUUAAUUGAAAAGUAACGGUUCUAGAAACUCUGAAAUAAAUAAUCCAAUAUGAAAUGUGAAUCGCUUAAUGUUAUACAGCACGAACGAGUUUCAAAUAAAUUGUGCCGUGGAUAGCAAUUUAAUAAUAAGCGUACCGAAAUUAAUUCGGGACAUUGGUAGUAAUCCACGUAAUGAUCGGUAGAUACCUCGUGCAUUAACGAUUCGAAGAAUCGGAUAAUUACGAGAAAUGAUAUAUCUACAUGACAAAUCAUCUAUCAAGCAGAAUAUUUCGUUCAAGAUGCGAAUACGAAUAUACUAACGAGGAUGCAAAUCGU